rnacentral:misc_RNA from 1 species
AACCAUAGAAACCUGCGGAGUACCUGCGGAAGGAUCAUUAACAAGCCUGUGGAGAUUAUAUUCCCAAAAGGAUGUAAUCUCGCGCCCGGCCACCCUUGUUUAUCUGACCCCUGUUGCUUUGGUGGGCCCGCCAGAAAGGCCGCUGGGGAACCUAGUUUCCGGGCGAGUGCUCACCAAAGUCCCAUUGAACUCUUUUUGAAGUUAUGCUGUCUGAGCACGCGAAAAUAAAUAUAUUAAAAC